rnacentral:rRNA from 1 species
UACGAAGGGUGCAAGCGUUACUCGGAAUUACUGGGCGUAAAGCGUGCGUAGGUGGUUUGUUAAGUCUGUUGUGAAAGCCCCGGGCUCAACCUGGGAAUGGCAAUGGAUACUGGCAAGCUAGAGUGCGGUAGAGGGUAGUGGAAUUCCCGGUGUAGCGGUGAAAUGCGUAGAGAUCGGGAGGAACACCAGUGGCGAAGGCGGCUCCCUGGACCAGCACUGACACUGAGGCACGAAAGCGUGGGGAGCAAACAGG